rnacentral:ribozyme from 1 species
UCGAAACGAAACAAAGAUAAGACAAACAGUAGACGAACAACGAGCAACAAGACAGCCAGGGUUCAUUCGUAUUGUUUCGGUUGUUUUUUUGGUUUUUUGUUUUUUUUUUCUUUUU